GUUUAUAGUUUAAAGGUCAUGUCCUAUUUUUUAGAUAUGACAUGUUUAUGAUAGGUAUUAAACUUUCUAUUUUUAUGCUAAUAGGGGGGUAGUGUACUUUAGACUGGCAGAGCACUGUAGGAAGAUCAUCAAAGGUUACCCUAACCACUCAGCCUCAAAGAACUUUAGCAAAAAUGAUAAAAACCCCAAGCAUCUAAAAUGUAUUGGAAUUCAAAAAUGUAAAAUACCGUGAAGAUUUAAAAAUACUUUUGGGUCAGAAAAAAAAUGUAUUGGGUGUU